AACGAACGCUGGCGGCAUGCCUAACACAUGCAAGUCGAACGAGACCUUCGGGUCUAGUGGCGCACGGGUGCGUAACGCGUGGGAACCUGCCCUUAGGUUCGGAAUAACUCCCCGAAAGGGGUGCUAAUACCGGAUAAUGUCUUCGGACCAAAGAUUUAUCGCGUUUGGAUGGGCCCGCGUUGGAUUAGCUAGUUGGUAGGGUAAAAGCCUACCAAGGCGACGAUCCAUAGCUGGUCUGAGAGGAUGAUCAGCCACACUGGGACUGAGACACGGCCCAGACUCCUACGGGAGGGAGCAGUGGGGAAUAUUGGACAAGGGGCGAAAGCCUGAUCCAGCAAUGCCGCGUGAGUGAUGAAGGCCUUAGGGUUGUAAAGCUCUUUUACCCGGGAUGAUAAUGACAGUACCGGGAGAAUAAGCACCGGCUAACUACGUG
rnacentral:rRNA from 1 species